rnacentral:rRNA from 1 species
UACAGAGGGUGCAAGCGUUAAUCGGAAUUACUGGGCGUAAAGCGCGCGUAGGUGGUUUGUUAAGUUGGAUGUGAAAUCCCCGGGCUCAACCUGGGAACUGCAUUCAAAACUGACAAGCUAGAGUAUGGUAGAGGGUGGUGGAAUUUCCUGCGUAGCGGUGAAAUGCGUAGAUAUAGGAAGGAACACCAGUGGCGAAGGCGACCACCUGGACUGAUACUGACACUGAGGUGCGAAAGCGUGGGGAGCAAACAGG